rnacentral:rRNA from 1 species
GUGUCAGCAGCCGCGGUAAGACAGAGGUGCCAAGCGUUAGGCGGAAUCACUGGGCUUAAAGCGUGUGUAGGCGGACGGGUAAGUACCUUGUGAAAUCCCACGGCUCAACCGUGGAACUGCUCGGUAUACUGCCCGUCUUGAGCCACUUAGGGGCUGUCGGAACAAACGGUGGAGCGGUGAAAUGCGUAGAUAUCGUUUGGAACGCCAAAGGUGAAAACAGACAGCUGGGAGUGUGCUGACGCUGAGACACGAAAGCCAGGGGAGCGAACGGGAUUAGAAACCCCAGUAGUCC